AUUGAACGCUGGCGGCAGGCCUAACACAUGCAAGUCGGGCGGUAGCAGGCUCUUCGGAGUGCUGACGAGCGGCGGACGGGUGAGUAAAGUCUAGGAAUCUGCCCAGUAGAGGGGGACAACGCGGGGAAACUCGCGCUAAUACCGCAUACGCCCUACGGGGGAAAGGUGCUUAAUUGUACCGCUAUUGGAUGAGCCUAGAUCAGAUUAGCUAGUUGGUGGGGUAAAGGCCCACCAAGGCGACGAUCUGUAGCUGGUCUGAGAGGAUGAUCAGCCACACUGGGACUGAGACACGGCCCAGACUCCUACGGGAGGCAGCAGUGGGGAAUAUUGGACAAUGGGCGCAAGCCUGAUCCAGCCAUGCCGCGUGUGUGAAGAAGGUCUUCGGAUUGUAAAGCACUUUAAGUUGGGAGGAAGGGGUGUAGUAACGAUACACCUUUGACGUUACCAACAGAAUAAGCACCGGCUAACUUCGUGCCAGCCGCCGCGGUAACAC
rnacentral:rRNA from 1 species